rnacentral:rRNA from 1 species
CUUGGUCAUUUAGAGGAAGUAAAAGUCGUAACAAGGUCUCCGUUGGUGAACCAGCGGAGGGAUCAUUACAGAGUUGCAAAACUCCCAACCCUUUGUGAACGAACCUACCAGUUGCCUCGGCGGCGAGCCUUUCAGGCGGACCGCCGAAGGAAUACAAACUCUUUGCAUUAUAGUAUCUCUGAUUACUUAUUCAAUAAGUUAAAACUUUCAACAACGGAUCUCUUGGUUCUGGCAUCGAUGAAGAACGCAGCGAAAUGCGAUAAGUAAUGUGAAUUGAAGAAUUCAGUGAAUCAUCGAAUCUUUGAACGCACAUUGCGCCCGCUAGUAUUCUGGCGGGCAUGCCUGUUCGAGCGUCAUUUCAACCAUCAAGCCCUAGGCUUGUGUUGGAGCCCUGCGGCUGCCGCAGCCUCCUAAAAACAGUGGCGGGCUCGCUAUCACACCGAGUGCAGUAGUUUACUCUUCGCUCAGGGCGUGUGGCGGGUGCUGGCCGUGAAACCCCCUACUUUUUAAGGUUGACCUCGGAUCAGGUAGGAAUACCCGCUGAACUUAAGCAUAUCAAUAAGCGGAGGA